rnacentral:lncRNA from 1 species
UGAAUCUAAAAAAUCAUUCGGACUCCGAGUCGGAUACGACUCCAAUUCCUCUCCUAUAAAUAAAAAGACUUCAAAACCCUCAAAGUAAAUUCUCUACUCUCUACUCUCUUCUCUCAUUGUUCUCCAUCUCUUAACUUGAGCGUCGGAGGGUUUUCAUCGAAGAACACCCCGGUGAAGAUUUUUUAUUGGUAUUCGGAUGA